UACGUAGGGACCGAGCGUUGUCCGGAAUCAUUGGGCGUAAAGAGCGUGUAGGCGGUUUGGUAGGUCCGUUGUGAAAACUCGAGGCUCAACCUCGAGACGCCGAUGGAAACCAUCAGACUAGAGUCCGGAAGAGGAGAGUGGAAUUCCUGGUGUAGCGGUGAAAUGCGCAGAUAUCAGGAAGAACACCCGUGGCUAAGGCGGCUCUCUAGUACGGUACUGACGCUGAGACGCGAAAGCGUGGGGAGCGAACAGG
rnacentral:rRNA from 1 species